CUACAAAAUUGAUAUGCACAUUCAACUUUAUUUUUAACUACCUUGAAAAAACAAAUUGAAAAAUGUUUGAAUGGACAAUAAUACAUUAUAUAUUAUACUAGCCUGUAAUGAAUUACUUUAUUAAUGGGAAAUAGUAGCAAGCAGUUUGUGCUUCCAUUGUAAGCAACAUGAUGAUUUCUAUUUUCAUGUUCAUAUAAUGUACAUUAUUGGCAUAAAGUUGACCAGAUAUUAACAUUAUUAAAUUGAUAAGCAUAUUCUUAGUCUUGAAAGUUUAAUAACCGGCUAUAAAAUUGAAGAUGAAGCCUUUUUUGAUAUGAACUGUCUAUUAUCUA
rnacentral:lncRNA from 1 species